GAUUUCAACUGAAAAAGUCAUCAACAACAAAGUUGUAUAACUCAUCAAGAUCUAUAACUUUUAUUUUGGUCAUUUCUUCAUCCGACAAAGUGAUAGUAACAUUGUUCACAGAAUUCACAUAUCUCUCAUCUAGUUUUAUAAACUAUAACACAUAUAUGUAAUUUUUGUAAACAAUGUUACUAACACUUUGUCGGAUGAAGAAAUGACCAAAAUAAAAGUUAUAUAUCUUGAUGAGUUAUACAACUUUGUUGUUGAUGACUUUUUCAGUUGAAAUC
rnacentral:pre_miRNA from 1 species